GAUGAAGAACGCAGCGAAAUGCGAUACGUAAUGUGAAUUGCAGAAUUCAGUGAAUCAUCGAGUCUUUGAACGCACAUUGCGCCCCCUGGUAUUCCGGGGGGCAUGCCUGUCCGAGCGUCAUUGCUGCCCUCAAUCACGGCUUGUGUGUUGGGCCUCCGUCCUCCUCCCGGGGGACGGGCCCGAAAGGCAGCGGCGGCACCGCGUCCGGUCCUCGAGCGUAUGGGGCUUCGUCACCCGCUCUUGUAGGCCCGGCCGGCGCUUGCCGACACAUCAAUCUUUUUUCCAGGUUGACCUCGGAUCAGGUAGGGAUACCCGCUGAACUUAAGCAUAUCAAUAAGCGGAGGA
rnacentral:misc_RNA from 1 species